AACGCGAAGAACCUUACCUGGGCUCGAAAUGUAGUGGACCGGGGUGGAAACAUCCCUUCCCCGCAAGGGGCUGCUAUAUAGGUGCUGCAUGGCUGUCGUCAGCUCGUGUCGUGAGAUGUUGGGUUAAGUCCCGCAACGAGCGCAACCCUUAUUGCCAGUUGCCAUCAUUAAGUUGGGCACUCUGGCGAAACCGCCCCGGAUAACGGGGAGGAAGGUGGGGAUGACGUCAAGUCCUCAUGGCCUUUAUGUCCAGGGCUACACACGUGCUACAAUGGGUGGUACAAACCGUCGCAAACCCGCAAGGGGGAGCUAAUCGGAAAAAGCCAUCCUCAGUUCGGAUUGGAGUCUGCAACUCGACUCCAUGAAGCUGGAAUCGCUAGUAAUCGCGGAUCAGCACGCCGCGGUGAAUACGUUCCCGGGCCUUGUACACACCGGAGUGC
rnacentral:rRNA from 1 species